UUGCAAGUCGAACGAUGAAGCCGCUUCGGUGGUGGAUUAGUGGCGAACGGGUGAGUAACACGUGGGCAAUCUGCCCUUCACUCUGGGACAAGCCCUGGAAACGGGGUCUAAUACCGGAUAACACUCUGUCCCGCAUGGGACGGGGUUAAAAGCUCCGGCGGUGAAGGAUGAGCCCGCGGCCUAUCAGCUUGUUGGUGGGGUAAUGGCCUACCAAGGCGACGACGGGUAGCCGGCCUGAGAGGGCGACCGGCCACACUGGGACUGAGACACGGCCCAGACUCCUACGGGAGGCAGCAGUGGGGAAUAUUGCACAAUGGGCGAAAGCCUGAUGCAGCGACGCCGCGUGAGGGAUGACGGCCUUCGGGUUGUAAACCUCUUUCAGCAGGGAAGAAGCGAAAGUGACGGUACCUGCAGAAGAAGCGCCGGCUAACUACGUGCCAGCAGCCGCGGUAAUACGUAGGGCGCAAGCGUUGUCCGGAAUUAUUGGGCGUAAAGAGCUCGUAGGCGGCUUGUCACGUCGGAUGUGAAAGCCCGGGGCUUAACCCCGGGUCUGCAUUCGAUACGGGCUAGCUAGAGUGUGGUAGGGGAGAUCGGAAUUCCUGGUGUAGCGGUGAAAUGCGCAGAUAUCAGGAGGAACACCGGUGGCGAAGGCGGAUCUCUGGGCCAUUACUGACGCUGAGGAGCGAAAGCGUGGGGAGCGAACAGGAUUAGAUACCCUGGUAGUCCACGCCGUAAACGUUGGGAACUAGGUGUUGGCGACAUUCCACGUCGUCGGUGCCGCAGCUAACGCAUUAAGUUCCCCGCCUGGGGAGUACGGCCGCAAGGCUAAAACUCAAAGGAAUUGACGGGGGCCCGCACAAGCAGCGGAGCAUGUGGCUUAAUUCGACGCAACGCGAAGAACCUUACCAAGGCUUGACAUAUACCGGAAAGCAUCAGAGAUGGUGCCCCCCUUGUGGUCGGUAUACAGGUGGUGCAUGGCUGUCGUCAGCUCGUGUCGUGAAAUGUUGGGUUAAGUCCCGCAACGAGCGCAACCCUUGUUCUGUGUUGCCAGCAUGCCCUUCGGGGUGAUGGGGACUCACAGGAGACUGCCGGGGUCAACUCGGAGGAAGGUGGGGACGACGUCAAGUCAUCAUGCCCCUUAUGUCUUGGGCUGCACACGUGCUACAAUGGCCGGUACAAUGAGCUGCGAUGCCGCGAGGCGGAGCGAAUCUCAAAAAGCCGGUCUCAGUUCGGAUUGGGGUCUGCAACUCGACCCCAUGAAGUCGGAGUUGCUAGUAAUCGCAGAUCAGCAUUGCUGCGGUGAAUACGUUCCCGGGCCUUGUACACACCGCCCGUCACGUCACGAAAGUCGGUAACACCCGAAGCCGGUGGCCCAACCCCUU
rnacentral:rRNA from 1 species